rnacentral:rRNA from 1 species
UACAGAGGUCUCAAGCGUUGUUCGGAUUCAUUGGGCGUAAAGGGUGCGUAGGCGGCGCGGUAAGUCGGGUGUGAAAUCUCGGAGCUUAACUCCGAAACUGCAUUCGAUACUGCCGUGCUUGAGGACUGGAGAGGAGACUGGAAUUUACGGUGUAGCGGUGAAAUGCGUAGAUAUCGUAAGGAAGACCAGUGGCGAAGGCGGGUCGCUGGGCCGAUACUGACGCUGAGGAGCGAAAGCGUGGGGAGCGAACAGG